AUUGAACGCUGGCGGCAGGCCUAACACAUGCAAGUCGAGCGAGCGGCGGACGGGUGAGUAAUGUCUGGGAAACUGCCUGAUGGAGGGGGAUAACUACUGGAAACGGUAGCUAAUACCGCAUACCAUCAGAUGUGCCCAGAUGGGAUUAGCGAGUCGGUGGGGUAACGGCUCACUUAGGCGACGAUCCCUAGCUGGUCUGAGAGGCUGACCAGCCACACUGGAACUGGUACACGGUGCAGACUCCCACGUGAGGCAGCAGUGGGGAAGAUUGCACAAUGGGCGCAAGACUGAUGCAGCCAUGCCGCGUGUGUGAAGAAGGCCUUCGGGUUGUAAAGCACUUUCAGCGGGGAGGCGUUACCCGCAGAAGAAGCACCGGCUAACUCCGUGCCAGCAGCCGCGGUAAUAC
rnacentral:rRNA from 1 species